CAACGGAUAAAAGGUACUCCGGGGAUAACAGGCUGAUACCGCCCAAGAGUUCAUAUCGACGGCGGUGUUUGGCACCUCGAUGUCGGCUCAUCACAUCCUGGAGCUGAAGUAGGUCCCAAGGGUAUGGCUGUUCGCCAUUUAAAGUGGUACGCGAGCUGGGUUUAGAACGUCGUGAGACAGUUCGGUCCCUAUCUGCCGUGGGCGCUGGAGAACUGAGGGGGGCUGCUCCUAGUACGAGAGGACCGGAGUGGACGCAUCACUGGUGUUCGGGUUGUCAUGCCAAUGGCACUGCCCGGUAGCUAAAUGCGGAAGAGAUAAGUGCUGAAAGCAUCUAAGCACGAAACUUGCCCCGAGAUGAGUUCUCCCUGAGACUUAGAGUCUCCUGAAGGAACGUUGAAGACGACGACGUUGAUAGGCCGGGUGUGUAAGCGCAGCGAUGCGUUGAGCUAACCGGUACUAAUGAACCGUGAGGCUUAACCUUACAACGCCGAAG
rnacentral:rRNA from 1 species